UGCCUUUACAAAGCUCUUUGAACCAUCAAGAAACCUUCCUUUUCCUCAGCACACCUAGCUUUUGAACAUCCUACAUUCUCUUCUACUUUUCAAAUGGAGUUAAGGUCCUCAGGGAUGACUCCACCUAUGUCUGAUUACUUCUGCAUUUUAGCUCCACGUAUCAUUAUGUAUAAUGUAAAAGUAUUCAUCAUAAUACAUAUUUGAAUUUUUCUUAAUUUCCUUGCUUGAUGUGUGUGUUUAGGAGCUGAGAGUGUGGGAGGGUAGGGAUUUGUGUUCAAAUUAGAUGUGUUUUCUUCUUUUUAAUGCCAAAUGAAGUGCUAGUGAUUGAAUUUUAUGUGAACUCACCAGACCAUGGCAACAUUUUCAAUAGAGAAUUUAUUUAAAGGGAAUAGAAAAGUGGCAUACCACUCUAAUUUUUAUUGUUUUUGUAUGUAUUAUUCAUAGGUAAAGAAACAGUCAAGGGAUUGAAAAGACAGUGUAAAUCAAAUAAUGAAGAAAUUCUGCAGUCACCAAAAGAAUUAUUAGCAAACUAGCAAAUUUCUUUCUAGUUAAAUAUUUUGGCACAACUGGGAAUUAAUAUUAAACACUUCUAAAUUUCUGUUCAGUGAUUAGCUAGUAUAACUUUCAGAUAGAACAGGUCUAUAAAUUUCUAAAUUUAAGUAGCUGUAUACCAUACUUAUGAUUUCCAUGAAGAGCUAAAACCACCUUUCUGAUGGUCUUAAUUACAGCCUCCUUUUCCAUUGUGCUGCUAUCAUAUUAUGCUUUACAUUUAUGUAGCAUCUGGUGUUUAGGAAGUUUUAUUGUUUUCCCACCACUUCUAUGCCUCUACACAAACUAUUGAGCAUUGUGUUGUAUAUGGCAGUGUAUUCCUACAGUUGGAGUAAGGUGUGUGUGUGUGUGUGUGUGUGCGUGUGUGUGUGUGUGUGUGUGUAAAUAGAACCCCAGAUUUUCUAAAUCCCAGCCAGGCAUAUCAGUUCUACAUAAAUUCUUUUAAAAUGGAAAGUAGCAAUUUUUUAAAGGAAAAAGCUAAUGUGAAAAUUGUAGCAUAGUGAUAAUAUUAAGAGAGGGUACAGUCAAGAUUUUUGAAAAUUAACUCUAUAUUAUAUAGCAGACUUUUUUGAUUUGGUCAGCAAAUGAUGGCUUCUCAUGUUCUCCAGAGAGAAGCAUCCAUUUAUUUUAUCUGUGUGUUUAAGAUAAUUCUUACUCCUUCCUUUACUUAAUUGAAAGUAAAGUUUAAUUCAUUUUUUGCAUUCUAUUCAUAAAUAUGACCAAAUACAAUUUAGAAUAUAUAUAUAUAUACUGUAUUUGUAUUAGUACACAUGUAUUUUCUGUCUUGGUAGAUUUGGGUAUGGUUUCAUAUAUUAGGGAAUUUAUAAAUGGAAUUUAUUAUAAUUCAUUUGAGUAAAGUAUUGAUGUUAAAAUCUAAUGUUGUUAUGAAUAUCUUCUUUGAGAGAUAUUGGAGACUUAUAGUGAAAUCAUCGUUUCACUAAGAUUUCUCUCCAAUAAGACAUUCACCAUUACUGGAAUUACAUAUUCUGUGAAUUUCAUUCCGUUGAUGUAAUUUUAAACCUCCAUUCUACUUCACUAUAAAUGGAAUUUCAUUAUAUCUGACUCCACAAUAAGUGAGUUACAGUAUCGUUGACAUUUAGUAGAAUUACAGAUCUUAGUGUCUUUGUAUACUCUGCAUUAAAAUGUAUUAUGUGUGCUUUCAAUUCUUUUUCAAAGAAACCACUAUUGAUUUACAUAGUUGUUGUGUAGAAGAAUUCUGUUAAACUCUAUUGCUUGAUUUCAUGGUGGCUUUUUUCUUCCUGAAAUCAUUUGAAAAUAUUUCUCAGUGUGUUUGCAACUCUUGGAUAAAAAGGAGAUAAAAUUUAUGGAUUAGAAAUAUAUUUAUGUGAGGUUUCUCUAACAGUAAGUCUUUAUAAAGCCUUUGUGGAUCUUAAGCUGCAAUUGUAGCUUUCUCUUAUAACUUUCUUUUAUUCUCUACUUUACUAUGAAAGCUAUCAUAGAAAAUUAAUUAUUUUACAUAGUGCUGAGAAUGCCUUUCUCUUUUAAAGAGUGAAAUUAAAAUAAUUCUUUUGUUUUAAGUCCAGGGAGGAAAGCCUAGGGAGAAUAGAGUCUUUUAUCUGGAUACAUGUUUCUCGGAUUUGAUGGCAGAGCUGUUGCUGUGGAGGACAGGGAAGCAGGGGGCUGGGCUGAAGGACAAAUGAACAAAUGGUUUGGGCAAAGACAAUGCAUUGGUUUUAAGAAGGCUGGUGUUGAGAUCUCACCUUUCACCCUAGAAAAUCUCAGAUAUAGACAUUCAGCUGCAGAUAACCCCCCCCCUUUUUUUUGGCUCAGAGGGGCACUUAGAGUGCCAGACCCAAAGGGGAAAUUGCCCUAGAGUAGUCCCAGAGCUGUUAAUUCUAGAACUGUUUUCUCAAGGGCCUGAGACUCAGAGAUGACCAGUGACUUGGACACCUGUACUCAGUCCAGUUUGAUGGGAAGAAGAUUUUAAAUUCAUCCAGGUCCAGAUUACCUGCUAUGUCUGCGCUUAAACCUUACCAUACCUCCUCUUCCUUUUGUACCUUCUGUUCUUUUUGCGGGGAGAGAGGGGUCACGGAGUUAGUAACUACCUCAGGAGACAGCUUUAUAUUUCAUCAUUAUGUCAGUCACAGCCUUAGUUUUUCAGCUUGGUUUGGGGGCAUCCUGUUUGUAACUUACAAUAAUAGAUUUGGAAUAGAGAUGCCCUUGACAACAGUUUCAAUGAGCAUUUUUAAUUCCUCAAUAGAGUAAUUUAGAGAACUGUGUUUCUUUGUCUCUAUCUCCCAAGAUAAGAGUAUCUGGAGGCCAGAUUUUGUGCUUAGCAUUAUUGCCAGGUCAGAAACUAGGCAUAUUAACAUGAAAUAUGUUGUUCUGCAUCUAGAAGCCAGAAUGUAAUAAGCAUUGUUAAUUUAGUUAAAGAAAAAGACAGCUGUUUAAGAUUAGCCUUCUUGUGUAUGUGUGGGAGUUAAGAGAAUAAUGUCUCUUUCCCAAGAUGUGUUUUUCUUUUGUUUAUAUGCAGAUUUUAAUUGAUGAAGGAAUUAAUGAACUAAGUGAAAUAAUAACUAUUUUAUACUGUUUGUUAGAAAUUGGUUGGCAGGUACUCCUCUGAAUGGUAUAUAAAGUUCUAGAAAUCAGAUAACUUCCAAAAAUUCUCUAUAGUGUGCAUUAUAUUCUGGGUUAUGUUUUCCUGUAGUAUAACUAUUAAGCCAGAUAAAGCAACUUUUAUUCAUGGUAACGAUUAUUUAGAACUCUGGCCGAGAUGAUGUCUCGCACUUAAAACAAUGUUGUUUUCUGAUAUGUAUUUUAAUAAUUAUCUACAUGACACGCAUUUAUGUUGUUGUGUAUAAUGAGAUUUCUUUGGAAAAUAUAGGUUCUAUGUUGAAUUUAAAACUCUUAUAUCCAUUUAGCUUUCACAAGCUUUAACUGUUUUUCUGUUUUAUCAAUUACGUGCAAGGUAUUUCAUUCACCUGUUUCUACAGUUCUUGAGAUCGCUGAGGGCUUGUAUUAUUGUUUCCAUUCUAGAGGCUGAGCAAAUGAGGCUCAUAUGGGUUGUAAAAUAUUAUAUGUCAUAAAGACACCACCUCUUUUUUAAACAACUUUUUUGAAGUAUAAUUUGCAUACAAAGUAAAAUUCUCAAAUAAGGUUACCUUUAGAUGAUGAUUGACAAAUAGAUACACCCAUAUAACUAUCACCCCAGUCAAGAAGUAGAACAGUCCACUUUCCAAGAAAGACCCUCCUUGCCUUUUGCAGUCUCCUUCUAUACCCCCAACUUCUUAUCUGGUUAGUAGUUUCAUCUGUUCUAGAAUUUCCUUUAUAUGAAUCACCAAUUUUAUGUACUUUUUUGUGUCUGCCUCCUUUUGUUCAGCCUAAUGUCUAUGAAAGCCAUCCAUAUUUUUGUGUUCAUCAGUAUUUUGUUCCUAUUAACUGCUAAGAAUUUCCAAUAUAUGAAUAUAUCUCAGUUUUAAAUGUAACACCUGUUGGAGUUCUCUUGUGGCACAUUGUCACUGCAGCAGUUCGGGUUGCU
rnacentral:lncRNA from 1 species